rnacentral:misc_RNA from 1 species
GUAGGUGAACCUGCGGAAGGAUCAUUAAAAAAAAAAAAUAUUACAAUGGCUCUAGGCAUACUCUCAAGCAUGCGAACCAUCAAACCAUUUUCGGUGUACAUCACUUCCGCGUUGCUUUCGCAGGUGGGGACCGGUGCUAAAGUGCGGACGAAUUUUGUUUUCAAUUGGAGGCCGCAAACGCGCAUCGCAAUCUGCGAAAGGGUCAGUGGGGAAAAAUUCAUUUUCCUCAUUUUUAAUAAUCGUCGUUCAU